rnacentral:lncRNA from 1 species
GGCGGAGCUUGCAGUGAGCUGAGAUCGCGCCACGGCACUCCAGCCUGGGCAAGGGAGUGAGACUCCAUCUCAAGAAAAAAAAAAAAAAAGAAAAGUCGAAUAGCCCUGGCAACUGAGUAAAGAUGGGGCACUGUGGAUUUGAAGGGUAACAAUCGAUGAUGGAAUGCUGAUCUUCUUCCUGGUCUCCUUUGUGUACAUCCCAGCCUUCUUGCACAUAGAAACACUACACAGCACUUCAGCUGUAUGUUUGGGGGCCAUUUUAAACAGCAAAAUCAUCAACAGGAAGCAGAAAAUUGUAAAAAUUGUGGCACUAAAUAGACCAUGUAAAGGACACAUGUUUGCAAUAAGAAAGCUGAAACAAGAAGGGGGAGUGUCACCUUAUUUGAUCCAGCUAGAAACUCAGGUGCUGGUAUUCCAGCAACACUCAGGCGGCUGCUCCAGGAGGCUGCAGAGGGGUCCUUUUUAGCCGUCAACAAAACUGGCUAUGGUCACGCCCAUUGGGAAACUCAUUGCUGCCUUCAAGGACUCAGAAGCUGUAGGAAUAUUCAGGCACAGACACCAGACCCAGCUUCAUCUCUAACUUGUGGCAAAGGACAGUACAUCCUGGGAUGGGACCCUAUGCUCCCCUAUGCCAUUUAGACAGAGCCUGGGGAGAGUGACUUCCCAGGGUAUCCAUGUUGGAAUCUCUCAUUUGAUUCUUAUUCAAAUUUAGGUUCUGUCAAUAGAAGAUACUAAAGAAAGAAAGCCAGGAGAAGAAAAGGGACUUCUUUCUUCAAGGUCUAAGCUGUUCUAAUAGCAUUAUUCUGGGAAUGGCAUCUUCCACUCCUCCUAGUACAAAGAACCUGCUUCCUCAUACCCCGUCAAGGAACUGCAGCAUCCAGGUGAUGGCCACAGUGGCAGAACCUAGGAAGCCAAGAAGAAACCAGAGAAUGGAGACACAUGGCAGCAAUGGCAAGUCAUCAGACCCAGGAUUUCCCAAAGAACACUGGUCCAGGAAGAUGCUCUGUGAAAAAGUGUUCCCUGGUCGGAGAAAUUUGUGAAACACUUUGCAUAAUACUUAAAAGAAUGUAUGGCACAUCAAAGGUAAUAUGCAAUAAAAGAAUUCAUUUUUUUAAAA